UGGGGAAUCUUGGACAAUGGGGGAAACCCUGAUCCAGCGACGCCGCGUGUAUGAAGAAGGCCUUAGGGUUGUAAAUUCCUUUCACCGGGGAGGAUGAUGACGUUACCCGGAGAAGAAGCACCGGCUAACGCCGUGCCAGCAGCCGCGGUAAGACGGAGGGUGCUAGCGUUGUUCGGAAUCACUGGGCGUAAAGGGCGCGUAGGCGGCUUGGUUAGUCAGAUGUGAAAGCCCAGGGCUCAACUCUGGAACUGCAUUUGAUACUCCCAAGCUUGAGGUCGAAAGAGGAGAGUGGAAUACUCAGUGUAGAGGUGAAACUCGUAGAUAUUGGGUGAAACACCAGUGGCGAAAGCGGCUCUCUGGUUCGAUUCUGACGCUGAGGCGCGAAAGCGUGGGGAGCAAACAGGAUUAGAUACCCCUGUAGUCC
rnacentral:rRNA from 1 species